CGGCAGUGAGACUGUGGGGGAUAAGCUCCAUGGUCGAGAGGGAAACAGCCCAGAGCAUCGACUAAGGCCCCUAAGCGUACGCUAAGUGGGAAAGGAUGUGGAGUCGCAGAGACAACCAGGAGGUUGGCUUAGAAGCAGCCACCCUUGAAAGAGUGCGUAAUAGCUCACUGGUCUAGUGAUUCCGCGCCGACAAUGUAGCGGGGCUCAAGCGUACCGCCGAAGUCGUGUCAUUGCAGCAUAAGGGCCAACGCCUGCUGUGAUGGGUAGGGGAGCGUCGUGUGCCGGGUGAAGCAGCCGCGUAAGCGAGUUGUGGACGGUUCACGAGUGAGAAUGCAGGCAUGAGUAGCGAUACAAACGUGAGAAACGUUUGCGCCGAUUGACUAAGGGUUCCUGGGUCAAGCUGAUCUGCCCAGGGUAAGUCGGGACCUAAGGCGAGGCCGACAGGCGUAGUCGAUGGAUAACCGGUUGAUAUUCCGGUACCCGCUGUGAAGCGUCAAACAUCGAGCAUCGUGAUGCUAAGGCCGUGAAGCCGUUCCGGACCCUUCGGGGAAAGGAAAGUGGUGGAGCCGCCGAACCAAGCGGUUAGUAGGUGAGUGAUGGGGUGACGCAGGAAGGUAGUCCAUCCCGGGCGGUGGUUGUCCCGGGGUAAGGGUGUAGCCCGUCAUCUAGGUAAAUCCGGAUGACAUGAGGGUGAGACCUGAUGCCGAGCCGAUUGUGGUGAAGUGGAUGAUCCUAUGCUGUCGAGAAAAGCCUCUAGCGAGUUUCAUGGCGGCCCGUACCCUAAACCGACUCAGGUGGUCAGGUAGAGAAUACCGAGGCGUUCGGGUGAACUAUGGUUAAGGAACUCGGCAAAAUGCCCCCGUAACUUCGGGAGAAGGGGGGCCACGCUUGGUGAGAGGACUUGCUCCUCGAGCUGGGGGUGGCCGCAGAGACCAGCGAGAAGCGACUGUUUACUAAAAACACAGGUCCGUGCGAAGCCGUAAGGCGAUGUAUACGGACUGACGCCUGCCCGGUGCUGGAACGUUAAGGGGACCGGUUAGUCACUCUUCGGGGUGGCGAAGCUGAGAACUUAAGCGCCAGUAAACGGCGGUGGUAACUAUAACCAUCCUAAGGUAGCGAAAUUCCUUGUCGGGUAAGUUCCGACCUGCACGAAUGGCGUAACGACUUCUCGACUGUCUCAACCAUAGGCCCGGUGAAAUUGCACUACGAGUAAAGAUGCUCGUUUCGCGCAGCAGGACGGAAAGACCCCGGGACCUUUACUACAGUUUGAUAUUGGUGUUCGGUUCGGCUUGUGUAGGAUAGCUGGGAGACUUUGAAACUCGCACGCCAGUGUGGGUGGAGUCGUCGUUGAAAUACCAGUCUGGUCGUGCUGGAUGUCUAACCUGGGUCCGUGAUCCGGAUCAGGGACAGUGUCUGAUGGGUAGUUUAACUGGGGCGGUUGCCUCCUAAAGAGUAACGGAGGCGCCCAAAGGUUCCCUCAGCCUGGUUGGCAAUCAGGUGUUGAGUGUAAGUGCACAAGGGAGCUUGACUGUGAGACCGACGGGUCGAGCAGGGACGAAAGUCGGGACUAGUGAUCCGGCGGUGGCUUGUGGAAGCGCCGUCGCUCAACGGAUAAAAGGUACCCCGGGGAUAACAGGCUGAUCUUCCCCAAGAGUCCAUAUCGACGGGAUGGUUUGGCACCUCGAUGUCGGCUCGUCGCAUCCUGGGGCUGGAGUCGGUCCCAAGGGUUGGGCUGUUCGCCCAUUAAAGCGGUACGCGAGCUGGGUUUAGAACGUCGUGAGACAGUUCGGUCCCUAUCCGCUGUGCGCGUAGGAAUAUUGAGAAGGGCUGUCCCUAGUACGAGAGGACCGGGACGGACGAACCUCUGGUGUGCCAGUUGUUCUGCCAAGGGCAUGGCUGGUUGGCUACGUUCGGGAGGGAUAACCGCUGAAAGCAUCUAAGCGGGAAGCCUGCUUCGAGAUGAGUAUUCCCACCUCCUUGAGAGGGUAAGGCUCCCAGUAGACGACUGGGUUGAUAGGCCGGAUAUGGAAGCACGGUAACGUGUGGAGUUGACCGGUACUAAUAGGCCGAGGGCUUGUCCUC
rnacentral:rRNA from 1 species